rnacentral:lncRNA from 1 species
GAUCCCGAAUAGCUCGGCUCACUUACACCCCUAGUGAAUGAUCUACUACUUAGUUUGCAACUUGUAAUUUUGUUGUGAUAAAUUAAAAUUAUUAGUUUCAUAAAAUAAAUUAACACAAAUAAACAAAACAAACAUUGCAUGUGAUCUAGGCAGGCCAAUGUACUGUCAAAUACUAAUAAUAGAAAAUCGAAUGGACCUCGUAUGUAUCAGAAAGUGUGAACAUAUUUACCUUGAACGUUGAUUUUAUUUAGACUUAGAAUAUCAAAUUAAUAAUAUGAUUUCUAAUAUUGUGAUUUAGAAGCUUAAGCAUUAAAUCAUACCAUAUGUAGGUUUCCACUCAUUUGACCUGCUCAACCCAUGUAAUUGUUUUAUAUUCACGGUUUUAAAUUUUACCCAUUACACCUAUUGGAAAUGAAAUGUAUGUAGCCUAAUUCCAAGUUUAUAAUUGUAACUAUCAUUUACAAAAAUCUAUAAUCUAUCUAUGAUUUUACGAAAAUGGAAAUGCUUGUUUGUCAAAUACUCUGCUGUUAUAAAAUUGUGUGUGCCAUGGGGACACAAAAAUAUAAGUUUGUGGUUAAAAAUUUUUAAUUGACUUCCAAGUCUUCCAAUAUUGCAACAACUUAUAUUCUUCAUUGAUUUCUUUAUAAAUGUAAGUUUCUGGUCACUUGGGUGGGUGGGGGGGUGUCGUGGGGCUCCGGCCUCCAAGGGAUAAAUGGGGAUUUUUGUUUAUUUAUUUUAUUUUUAAAUGUAAAACAAAUAAACAAAUAAAAAUUUUAAAAAGAAAUUAUUAAGGGCAAAUUAGGUUUUUGAUGUCCGGAGGGAUGAAAUAUAUAAGUUCUUAACAAAUAAAGGAUGAUCCGAAUUAAUUUGUAUAAUUAAGAACUAAAUGACUAAUCAUGCCUUUUGACGCCUCACACCCUUUUUAAAAAACCUAUUGCCUUGUUAAUUUUACCAACAUAAAUUAUAAUAUAAACACUUAUUAAAAAAAUAUUUUUUUCAAAUAAAUCAUUUUGCCCAACAGUCAUUUUGUGGUAACCAACAUCCUCUAAAGCUAAACGACGGAAGAAGGAGAAUUCGUGAAGGUCAUUAGUAUGCAUUUUUUUUUUUGAAUGGCACGUCAAUUUAUGCUUAGUAAUAUUGAGGAGAAAUCAGUGAAGACGGAGCCGACUUAGUCAAGGUAUGUUCGUUAUAUUUGUAAAGUUUGCUUAAGUCUUAAGAUGUGUUAAAUUAGUGGUUGCAAGUCAAGAUUACUAGAUGAUGGGAUGUAAUCUAAAUCAAGACAUUGUGUUUACUGACCUAAUUUUGUCAAUUCUGGGAAUUUCUCAAAUAAAUUGGAUAAUGGUAAUUUAAGUGAACUAGAUGAUGUUAAUCACACGGAAUAUUUUGUGACAUUUUUCUCGAGUACUUGAGUACUGUAGUAGUGAAUGAUAGAGGUGUGAACGAGCCAAGCCAGAGCGUGGCCACGCUCGGUUCAGGCUCAUUUAAGUUAUGAGAGACUCGAGCUCGAGUUCGGCUCGAUUUGAGCUUUAUUACACCAAGUUAUCGGCUCGAGCUCAUGAAGAGUUGUACAGACUCAGCUCGGGCUCGAGAUCGGCUUGUUUUUAGUAUGAUCAGGAGCCUAAAUGAGUUUAGGCUCGGUUCAAGCUUGUUAAAAAGCUCGUUUACUAAUACCCUACGUCCCUAAUUCCUCAAGUAUUUUUUUUUUAUUUUAAUAUAUAAAAAUAAUGAUAAUAUUGUAUAUUAUAUAUAGGCUCAUUUAGGCUGCGAGUUCACUGAUUGAAGCUCGGCUCGAGCUCGUUUAAUAAAUGAGCCUCAUAUUUAGGCUCGAGCUCCGCUCGGGCUCGUUUAAUUCCAUCUCGAGUCGAGGUUUUAACGAGUCGAUCCCGAAUAGCUCGGCUCACUUACACCCCUAGUGAAUGAUCUACUACUUAGUUUGCAACUUGUAAUUUUGUUGUGAUAAAUUAAAAUUAUUAGUUUCAUAUAGAAAAUUAACACAAAUAAACGAAACGAAUAUUGCAUGUGAUCUAGGCAGGCCAAUGUACUGUCAAAUACUAAUAAUAGAAAAUCGAAUGGACCUCGUAUUUAUCAGAAAGUGUGAACAUAUUUACCUUGAACGUUGAUUUUAUUUAGACUUAGAAUAUCAAAUUAAUAAUAUGAUUUCUAAUACUGUGACUUAGAAGCUUAAGCAUUAAAUCACACUAUACGUAGGUUUCCACUCAUUUGACCUGCUCAACCCAUGUAAUUGUUUUAUAUUUUCCCACGGUUUUAAAUUUUACCCAUUAGACCUAUUGGAAAUGAAAUGUAUGUAGCCUAAUUCCAAGUUUAUAAUUGUAACUAUCAUUUACAAAAAAUUAUAAUCUAUCUAUGAUUUUACGAAAAUGGAAAUGCUUGUUUGUCAAAUACUCUGCUGUUAUUUAACUGUGUGUGCCAUGGGGACACAAAAAUGUCAGUUUGUGGUUACAAAUUUUUAAUUGACUUCCAAGACAUCCAAUAUUGCAACAAGUUAUAUUCUUCAUUGAUUUCUUUAUAAAUGUAAGUUUGUGGUCACUUGGGUGGGUGGGGGGUGUUGGGGGGCUCCGGCCUCCAAGGGAUAAAUGGGGAUUUUUGUUUAUUUAUUUUAUUUUUAAAUGUAAAACAAAUAAACAAAUAAAAAAUUUAAAAAGAAAUUAUUAAGGGCAAAUUAGGUUUUUGAUGUCCGGAGGGAUGAAAUAUAUAAGUUCUUAACAAAUAAAGGAUGAUCCGAAUUAAUUUGUAUAAUUAAGAACUAAAUGACUAAUCAUGCCUUUUGACGCCUCACACCCUUUUUAAAAAACCUAUUGCCUUGUUAAUUUUACUAACAUAAAUUCUAAUAUAAACACUUAUUAAAAAAAUAUUUUUUUCAAAUAAAUCAUUUUGUCAGACAGUCAUUUUCAGGUAACCAACACCCUCUAAAGCUAAAUGACAGAAGAAGGUGAAUUUGUGAAGAUCAUUAGUAUGCAUCUUUUUUUUUUUGAAUGGCACGUCAAUUUAUGCUUAGUAAUAUUGAGGAGAAAUCAGUGAAGUCGGAGCCGACUUAGUCAAGGUAUGUUCGUUAUAUUUGUAAAGUUUGCUUAAGUCUUAAGAUGUGUUAAAUUAGUGGUUGCAAGUCAAGAUUACUAGAUGAUGGGAUGUAAUCUAAAUCAAGACAUUGUGUUUAUUGACCUAAUUUUGUCAAUUCUGGGAAUUUCUCGAAUAAAUUGGGUAAAGGUGAUUUAAAUGAACUAGAAGAUGUUAAUCACACAGAAUAUUUAGUGACAUUUUUUCGAGUACUUGAGUACUGUAGUAGUGAAUGAUAUAGGUGAGAACGAGCCAAGCCUGAGCGUGGCCACGCUCGCUUCGGGCUCAUUUAAGUUAUGAGAGACUCGAGCUCGAGCUCGGCUCGAUUUGAGCUUUAUUACGCC